UACGUAGGGUGCGAGCGUUGUCCGGAAUUAUUGGGCGUAAAGAGCUCGUAGGCGGUGUGUCACGUCGAUCGUGAAAACCUGCAGCUUAACUGUGGGCGUGCGGUCGAUACGUGCAUCACUGGAGUUCGGCAGGGGAGACUGGAAUUCCUGGUGUAGCGGUGAAAUGCGCAGAUAUCAGGAGGAACACCGGUGGCGAAGGCGGGUCUCUGGGCCGAUACUGACGCUGAGGAGCGAAAGCGUGGGGAGCAAACAGG
rnacentral:rRNA from 1 species